rnacentral:rRNA from 1 species
AUGCAAGUCGAACGGUAACAGGGAGCUUGCUCCGCUGACGAGUGGCGAACGGGUGAGUAAUAUAUCGGAACGUACCCAGAAGUGGGGGAUAACGUAGCGAAAGUUACGCUAAUACCGCAUACGAUCCACGGAUGAAAGUAGGGGACCUUCGGGCCUUAUGCUUUUGGAGCGGCCGAUAUCUGAUUAGCUAGUUGGUNNGGUAAAGGCNNACCAAGGCGACGAUCAGUAGCUGGUCUGAGAGGACGACCAGNCACACUGGAACUGAGACACGGUCCAGACUCCUACGGGAGGCAGCAGUGGGGAAUUUUGGACAAUGGGCGCAAGCCUGAUCCAGCAAUGCCGCGUGAGUGAAGAAGGCCUUCGGGUUGUAAAGCUCUUUUGUCAGGGAAGAAACGGCUGUGGCUAAUAUCCAUGGCUAAUGACGGUACCUGAAGAAUAAGCACCGGCUAACUACGUGCCAGCAGCCGCGGUAAUACGUAGGGUGCAAGCGUUAAUCGGAAUUACUGGGCGUAAAGCGUGCGCAGGCGGUUUUGUAAGUCUGACGUGAAAUCCCCGGGCUCAACCUGGGAAUUGCGUUGGAGACUGCAAGGCUAGAAUCUGGCAGAGGGGGGUAGAAUUCCACGUGUAGCAGUGAAAUGCGUAGAGAUGUGGAGGAACACCGAUGGCGAAGGCAGCCCCCUGGGUCAAGAUUGACGCUCAUGCACGAAAGCGUGGGGAGCAAACAGGAUUAGAUACCCUGGUAGUCCACGCCCUAAACGAUGUCUACUAGUUGUCGGGUUUAAUUAACUUGGUAACGCAGCUAACGCGUGAAGUAAACCGCCUGGGGAGAACGGUCGCAAGAUUAAAACUCAAAGGAAUUGACGGGGACCCGCACAAGCGGUGGAUGAAGGGGAUUAAUUCGAUGCAACGCGAAAAACCUUACCUACCCUUGACAUGUCAGGAAGAUCAAAUAA